AAAAAUCAUCAAAAUCUCAAAUAGACAUUUAAACCAAAAGUUUUGGAAACCACCACUUCCUCUAAUACCACCACAACUACUACAGAAUAUAACAAAAUUCGACUGAGUGUUUCUACAACAUCAUCCUGUCAACAUGCAAGUAUUACAUCACUUACAAACCCUUCUACAAAUAUGUUUGUCACCCAAAAUUAGACAAUUACUUAAUAAACAUAAGUUCCCCAACUAUUCGUUACAUACUUAUGAAACGGUCUCUUUUGCUUCAGCAAGCUUUCCCAAAUAUCUC
rnacentral:lncRNA from 1 species